AGAGCAUGCCGGGAGUCUGGCAGUCCGUGCGGCAGCAGUGGAGCGCAGAGGACAGGGCCGGCCUGGAGCGCUUGGCGUCUCCCCGAAGUCUCUCUGAGAGCUGGGGAGGCGGUUGGCCCGCUAGGUCACUAGGUCGGGCAGGGGUCUUCCCCCAAACAUGGAAGUUUUCACCGAUAUUUCGCCGGUGACAUUGGGGCCUUGUGCCAACAGACUUUGCUGAAGUGAACCCAAAGUUCAACCCUCCGGGAGAGUCCUUGCAACGAUUCGGCCACUCAGUUCUGGAGCCGUCGGCACUACAUUCUAAGUUGCGGUGGACUCCACUGGCAUCUGCGUGACUAUCUCCGGCCGGUGUGCAUAGGCGCCCGUCGGGUCGGGGGCUGAGGACCUUGGACAGGGCGGCCACACCCCUCUCGUACAGCAGCGCCUCUGUCCAUUCUGCGCAGGCGCCUCUGGGGUCAGGGACGGAGGAACCCGGGCGAGUAGCCACGCCCCUUCACAGGUGUCUUCCCUCGACCGCUACUUUCGCCCCUGGCAGCCAAACACAGGAACGCUGAAAAACAGGCUGAGAGGUGGAUUUGAGGAAUUACAUCGUUCACUUAGAGUUGAACUGGAGAAGCAUUCUUGUACGUCCUUAUACCUCCCUGCACUCUCAUCCUAACCCUGUUAGGAUACAAAAGUACGGGACAGACCUACUCGUAAGAAAUACUGUUAGUGUUAAAUAUUCUGAUUUUUAACUACAGCAAAAAUCGUACUGUUCAAGUCAUAUCCCUGAGCGUUGUGAGAUGAGGGCCAAAGAUCAAAGCCUCUGGUAUUUAUUUGGUUACAGUAUUUCAUAUAUUGAAGAAAGUAAAGGGCAAAUGUUUGCCUGUGUUGCGUUAAAACGGCACGUUGAAUGAGGAAUAUGGCACAUUUACCAAUAACUGGAGUUUUGCUUUUUCUCCUUCCUGUGGUCGUUUUACCCCUUCCUGUAACAAUAUUUUGAAGUAAGAACCUACUAAAAAUCAGUAAUUGAGAAAAAUUUUAAUUGGUAUCCAAUUUUCUGAUGUACCAAAAGAAAAUAGUGUGAAAUCAUAUACGAGUUUCUGGUAUUGCUGAGCCAAAAACAGAAAGAGGAACAGAAAGUUAAGCCCACAGGAAUUAUUGCUAACCCUAUGUUUUUCUGUGUUUGAGGUUAUAAUUCUUUUCUUUCACAGCUUUUGAAAAGUAAUAGAAACACUGUUCUUUCCCCCUCAAAAAAAUUAGGCAAAAACGACAUUCCUGUUGAGUUAAAUUUUCCAAUUACAAAUAAAAUGUGCUUUGAUAUA
ensembl:lncRNA novel transcript